rnacentral:rRNA from 1 species
GACGAACCGUGCGAACGUUGUUCGGAAUCACUGGGCUUAAAGGGCGCGUAGGCGGGCGGCCGCGUCCGGGGUGAAAUCCCACGGCUCAACCGUGGAACGGCCUCGGAUACGGGCGGCCUCGAGGGGGGUAGGGGCAUCUGGAACUGUGAGUGGAGCGGUGAAAUGCGUUGAUAUUCACAGGAACUCCGGUGGCGAAGGCGAGGUGCUGGACCCCAUCUGACGCUGAGGGCGCGAAAGCCAGGGGAGCGGAACGGG